AGGUGAGUAAGUCCUCCCGAAAUAAUGAUGAUGCCAUGACUAAUUGACAGGGGUGGGAGCAAGUAGGGGAGGGUUCAGCU
rnacentral:ncRNA from 1 species